GUAGGUGGCAAGCGUUGUCCGGAAUUAUUGGGCGUAAAGCGCGCGCAGGCGGUCCUUUAAGUCUGAUGUGAAAUCCCACGGCUCAACCGUGGAAGGUCAUUGGAAACUGGGGGACUUGAGUACAGAAGAGGAAAGCGGAAUUCCAAGUGUAGCGGUGAAAUGCGUAGAGAUUUGGAGGAACACCAGUGGCGAAGGCGGCUUUCUGGUCUGUAACUGACGCUGAGGCGCGAAAGCGUGGGGGGCAAACAGGAUUAGAUACCCUGGUAGUCCACGCCGUAAACGAUGAGUGCUAAGUGUUAGGGGGUUUCCGCCCCUUAGUGCUGCAGCUAACGCAUUAAGCACUCCGCCUGGGGAGUACGGUCGCAAGACUG
rnacentral:rRNA from 1 species